rnacentral:rRNA from 1 species
AGAGUUUGAUCCUGGCUCAGGAUGAACGCUGGCGGCGUGCUUAACACAUGCAAGUCGAACGGAAAGGCUCCUGCUUGCAGGGGUACUCGAGUGGCGAACGGGUGAGUAACACGUGGGUGAUCUGCCCUGCACUUCGGGAUAAGCCUGGGAAACUGGGUCUAAUACCGGAUAGGACGAUGGUUUGGAUGCCAUUGUGGAAAGUUUUUCGGUGUGGGAUGAGCUCGCGGCCUAUCAGCUUGUUGGUGGGGUAAUGGCCUACCAAGGCGUCGACGGGUAGCCGGCCUGAGAGGGUGUACGGCCACAUUGGGACUGAGAUACGGCCCAGACUCCUACGGGAGGCAGCAGUGGGGAAUAUUGCACAAUGGGCGCAAGCCUGAUGCAGCGACGCCGCGUGGGGGAUGACGGCCUUCGGGUUGUAAACUCCUUUCGUCAGGGACGAAGCGAAAGUGACGGUACCUGGAUAAGAAGCACCGGCUAACUACGUG